UACGGAGGGUGCAAGCGUUAUCCGGAUUUACUGGGUUUAAAGGGUGUGUAGGCGGGUAUUUAAGUCAGGGGGGAAAUCUCCGAGCUCAACUUGGAAACUGCCAUUGAUACUAUUUAUCUUGAAUUUUGUUGAGGUAGGCGGAAUAAGUCAUGUAGCGGUGAAAUGCAUAGAUAUGACUUAGAACACCAAUUGCGAAGGCAGCUUGCUAAACAAAUAUUGACGCUGAGGCACGAAAGCGUGGGGAUCAAACAGG
rnacentral:rRNA from 1 species